rnacentral:lncRNA from 1 species
CAAGCCCAACCCAUCUCUUCUUUUGAUUUUGCUGUUCUGAGACACAGAAAGUAUCUCCUAGGAUAUUCUGAUCCCCCUGCCUCAGCCUCUUGAGUCUGAGACAGUGGGCCUGCAUCACCAUCAUGUUCAGAAGCAGUCUUCUUGUGAGCCACUGGUGGGCCCAAGGCUCUUAGCAACUGGAGCUCCGUGGUGUGGACUGCGGAGUGUGCGCAGGCCGGACAUAUGAGGCAGGAGGAUGGGAAGCCCCUGGCUUUCCUUCACUGUUUCUGUGACCCUAAAAUUGUGAACAAGGAUAUUGUCUUGGAAAAAAACGAAAAUCAAAACAAGUGGUCAGGGUGCUCCCUGCUCUUACAGAAGGGCAGGGUCUGGUUCCCAGGACCUACUCUGGCUCACAACUGCCCCAACUACAGCUCCAGGAGACUUGGCACUAAUUUCUGUGCUCUGCAGAAACCCACACAUGUACUGUACAUAUGUGUAUUUGGUGUUGCACAUAAGCGUACUCAGGAACACACACACAUACAAAAUAAUAAAUCUUUAAAAAAACACAAAAAUAAAA